rnacentral:rRNA from 1 species
GACGAACGCUGGCGGCGUGCUUAACACAUGCAAGUCGAACGGGAGUAUUGAAGAAGCUUGCUUUAGAGAUACUUUAGUGGCGGACGGGUGAGUAACGCGUGAGGAGCUGUCCAAUGCAGGGGGACAACAGUUGGAAACGACUGCUAAUACCCCAUAAGCCGAGAGGUAAAAGGAUUUAUCCGGCAAUGGAGGUACUCGCGUCCUAUCAGCUAGUAGGUGAGGUAACGGCUCACCUAGGCGAAGACGGGUAGCCGGCCUGAGAGGGCGAACGGCCACACUGGAACUGAGGUACGGUCCAGACGCCUACGGGAGGCAGCAGUGGGGAAUAUUGGGCAAUGGGGGGAACCCUGACCCAGCGACGCAGCGUGGGUGAAGAAAUCCUUCGGGAUGUAAAGCCCUGUUGUAUGGGAAGAGCGGAAGACGGUACCAUACGAGGAAGCCACGGCUAACUACGUGCCAGCCGCCGCAGUAA